rnacentral:rRNA from 1 species
CCUACGGGUGGCAGCAGUGAGGAAUAUUGGUCAAUGGACGAGAGUCUGAACCAGCCAAGCCGCGUGAAGGAUGACUGCCCUAUGGGUUGUAAACUUCUUUUAUAUGGGAAUAAAAUGUUCCACGUGUGGGAUUUUGUAUGUACCAUAUGAAUAAGGAUCGGCUAACUCCGUGCCAGCAGCCGCGGUAAUACGGAGGAUCCGAGCGUUAUCCGGAUUUAUUGGGUUUAAAGGGGGCGUAGGUGGAUUGUUAAGUCAGUUGUGAAAGUUUGCGGCUCAACCGUAAAAUUGCAGUUGAAACUGGCAGGCUUGAGUACAGUAGAGGUAGGCGGAAUUCGUGGUGUAGCGGUGAAAUGCUUAGAUAUCACGAAGAACUCCGAUUGCGAAGGCAGCUCACUGGACUGCAACUGACACUGAGGCUCGAAAGUGUGGGUAUCAAACAGGAUUAGAUACCCCAGUAGUC